UUUGCUGACUGUAUCUGUCAAGCUGACUACACAGACUAUAGUAGCCAAAGAUAAGUUGUAGAAAGUGUGUUUCAGAGUUGAAUAUAUGAAUUAAAGCAUUGGCACAGUGAAUGGCAGCUGAAAAAUUUUGACCCUUGUUUCUGGAAGUGAAAUGUUAGAUGGUUUGAUGAAGUGCCACAGAGAUUAUCGCUUAAAGAAUGCGUGCAGGCCAACCACCAACACAAGAUAUUAAAAGAGCAAUGAAAAUGAAGAUUUAACUAUAAAGAAAAAUCUGAGUAAUAUUAUUACUCAUAA